CACAGGAUGAACUGAUGCUCACUUCACACAACUACUCCACUUCCCCAGCUAAAAGACAUUUCUAAUUCUGGAUCCUCCGUGUCUUCAAGCCUGUAAUUUGAUCUGAGUUUGUCUCACUCAAUUAGAGCCUGGGGAAGCUGGAGCUGUGUGCUGUAAUCAUUGGCUCAUAGUCUCCACAAGACAAGGCAAGGCAACAAAAGGAAAGACCUCCCCACCAUCACACCCUCUCUCUCUGUCCUCAGCUGAGUCCAUGGCUCCUUUGACCCGGCGUCAGCCUCUGUAUGCGCUACACAAUACUGGACGUGCACAUCUGCGCACAGACACAGCUGUUAGAGAACACCCCAGUCGUAGCACAGAGGUAGAGGGGAUGUUUUCUGAACACUCAUACAGAGUGCAUAACACAAGCAUAGAUAACACAUUCAUGUUAGUGUGGUCACAUAAACUGUAGACGGAGGGAGGACAAGAUGUGGUUUAGGGUUAGGUGAUGUAAGAGGGCGGAGGUGGACCGUGAGAAGGCUGGAAAGAGAAAUGAGGAGCAAAGAAAUAAGAGUUUAGAGGGAGGACGUUUUCUUGACAUGGCUGUCGAUUGGAACAGGAACAUGUGUGUCUGUACCCCUCUCUGUCUCCAAGUAUGAGCUGCUUUCGAGAACCGAACCCUGAGCCAUGAACCAUGGCCACAUGUUCACAAUGUGACAGGCGUCACAUAUGUUUUCUUGGCAGGUGGGGAGUUCCUGGUUUCUAUGCCAGAUUUCCUUAUCUUUAGACGGCAUGCAUGCACCCAAGGCUGGGCCCCUGCCCUAACCCCCAGCAGUGGCUCAGACUGUGCCUGUUUAGGGUUGGGGGGUGGGGGGAGGGAUGGAUGGAUGGAGGGGUGAACUGACCCCCACAGUAACAGGACCCAAAAAAUCUAAAGGACCGAAAGCCUGAUAAACCCUGGCAGCUGAGCUUCCUCUUACAAAGGGCCUUUCCACCACCACAAACCCUGACACAAGUGUUCACCAACACAAAGAUUCACAAAGACAACGGAUGCGAAAUGCACAGUCAUACACAGCGUAACGCCCUGGCUUUCACACAGACACAGUUUGAAGUUGACUCAGUCUGACCGGCCUGUGGGGCUGCUCCAGUGGAGGAGGGAUGCGUUACGUAACUGGGAGGCUCCGUGGACGUGUUCUGAGUGGAGGCUAUUCUGUGGCUCUGGGCCUGCCUCAGAUACUUUCUCAUCUCAGCUUUGGAAAAGAUUCAUAUCUGGAUUAUACUCAUUUUGUGUGUGUGUUUGUGUCCAGUAUGUGUGUAUGUGUGGGUCAGAUGGCUGAGCGGUUAGGGAGUCGGGCUAUUAAUCAGAAGGUUGUUGGUUCAAUUCCCCGGCUGUGCCAAAUGACGUUGUGUCCUUGGGCAAGGUACUUCACCCUACUUGCCUCGGGGGAAUGUCCCUGUACUUACUGUAAGUUGUUCUGGAUAAGAGUGUCUGCUAAAUGACUAAAAAUGACUAAAUGUAUGAGUAACAUGUACGGGUUUCUUUUUUGGGUGCCCAUCCACCAAAUGGGAGCCCAAGCAGCAGGUUUAGGACAGUGAAGCGUUUUCCUCCUGGAGGGACCUCUGCAGCUCAGCCCUUUGCUUUCAUUGUAGUCAUGGCAGCUGUCCAACUGACCUGCUGUUAUCUCUCAUCUCAGCAUGGUCGAGUUUGGGGCCGGAGGGGGAGGCAAAGAGAGAGAGAGAGUAGCUCAUGUUGAUAUUGAUGAUAAUGUUAGUUAUGUGUUGUUUUCCUGUGAAGGCAUGUCUAAGCUUGCCCAUCUGUACAUAGCCUUCCCCCUUGUGUUUGUAAGUCUGUGUACGCAUGUUUCAGGCUGCUGAUAAGCAAGGGGCCGCUUCAGUUUGGACUGAUGAUUGAGUGUGGUGUGUGAGAGCAGCUGCGUGCUGACAGUGGCACCGUGUUGCAGCUGGCGGGAAGGGGGGGGGCCACAGAACAGACCCCCACUGAUAACAUGGCUCAGACAGACAGACAGGGACAGGGGGCAGGACAUGGUGGGAGGUCACAUGAUAAGACCUCUUGUCUACCGCUGCUGCUGUGGACCAAGACCCAAAUGACCAGUGAUUACAUUAGAGGGGAAGUCUGGGGAGUCAUUGAGUUGUUGAGUUGUUUUAGAAUGCCAGCACAGAUCCAGUGCUCUGUGUCCUUUUUCCUCCAGAGAAGUCAUCGGAACACGUACUUUGAAGGAGAUUUCUCCUUCAAUUUAGAUGAGAUCUCACGGGGAUCUACAAGGUGACAGUGAACAGUGGGAUAAGAGAGAGUGAGAAAGAUAAAAUAAGGGAUGUUUGUAGGGGACCACCAUUUGAAAACAGAAUUGAGAUGUAAACCUUAAGGUUCAUUGCAUGGGCGUCUAUAAUCCAAGACUAUGAGAGUAUUCAUGGAAAGCAGUUCAUUUGAAGGUCACUUCGUAAUCUUGAAAAACAUCUUAUACUCGGAGGUCAAACGCACUCUCUUUCAUUCUCUCUCUUUUUUUCCCGGGUCUGCCUUCAACCUAUCCUAUUUUAGUAUGUUCCGCCUGGCUCUGUUUGCACUCUCAUGAAAAGAUAAAAACUGUUCAGAUGCCGUCUUUCUUUCUCAGGAAAAAACCUGUGGAGGCAGAGUGAGGCUGUUUUCCCAGUCCGGGGGGAGCGAUCUGCUCUCUGCGGAGCCAGGAUGAUACUCUGCAUGGAUUCAACACAGCUCUUUAUAAGGACAGAGGAAAAAGGGCCUGCUGCCUCUAUAUAUAGACCGACUUUAUUGGGCCUCUUGUCUCUUUUCCCCCUCUGCUGCUCUUAGGAAUCUCUCACCAAAGCCAUGUGGGCGGCCAACCCUUCUCUCCUGCCCGCAGAGAGGAGAGUGAGAAUGAUAAUGAUCUGGGUGAUAAUAACAGAAGAGAGAGAGAAGACACGCAGACAAGAGAGAGAGGCAAACAGGAGGAUAGAUGGUGAGAGGGGAAGUGAGUUGGCAUCAGUAUAUCUAACAUGGACUCAGCACUCCUCACUGGCUGUCAUCUCGAUUGCCUAGCAGAAUGAGAAGGUUGAUACAGGGCACUCAACCGAUGUCUCCCUGAGGUCUUCUGGAUGAUUCCAAACUAUGAGCAAUGCUAGUAUUUGUCUGUCUUGUUUUGGGGGCAUGUGUAUGUGUGUGUGUUCUUACUCUCCACUACACUGCUACAUGUAUUUCAAGCGUUGAUCUCUGCUAUCUAAACAGGCCUCUAAACUUGUGCAAUCUUGCUGCCUAAAUCUCUACAGCCAGUGUAUCCCUUAGUGAUACUAACAAACCGUACCUUGGUGUAACAGUAACUGUGUCCAAUCAACUAGGCUUGGAGAGAUUGGAAGACUCAAGUAACAAAACGACAACAAGAUAGUGAAAGCAAAUAUGGACUGAUAAGACAUAGCUACAUUUUAUCACUAUAUUAAAGUGAUUUGUGUUGUCAAUCUGUUUUUUUUUAUAUAAAUCUGUUGCCGGAGUAACCUUAACAUGUCUCUAGAUGUGUGAAACAUCAGACAACACAAGGGAUGUUCAAGUGAUAAACAGAUAGAUGAUCACAAAAAAAACAUAAUAAUCCAAACUCCCAAGAACAUAUUCAUAUUUCCCUGUGAGUAUAAAACGAAUGAAGUAUCUAUUUGAAUUUUGACUUAUUUUCCAGAAGACACUUCUGAGAACAUCUUCAAAGGUUUUGGCUGUGCAACACUCUACAAAAACAAGAUUGUCAAAAUGGGUUGUCUCGUUUGAUGGCCAUGACCCUGUCCAUGAGGAGAUCUGAGGAGGUGUGAGGGUAGCCCCACCCAUAAACACCAUCUCCUCCCUGGAGUUAAAAAGACUCAGGCCAGAUGAAAAAUGAAAUGUUUAUUUGCAUGUGUGCUGUCAAAUACAGGGGUUGUACAGAAGCAUCAACUGCCAAGCAAAUUACAUGCAAAUGAGAUUCAAAUGAGAUAAAAAAGAGGCUGAAAGGGUGAAGGAUACAGUAUGUUUGUAUGCAUGCCAUGGUACACGAGUCACUGCUUUGUACAUCUCUCACAACUGGAUGAAUGAGAAGGUGGACUUUCUAUGAUAACAGUGAACAAUAUUGGACCCGAGAUAAAAACUAAAUGAAAGACCUACAGGAUAUUUGAAUGUCGUGCCAAGGAUUAUCUGAACGUCUAAUUUGGUGACAGUAUGAGUGUGGUAUUUGUAUGCAUGUUUGUGGAUGUAGAGUAUGUACCACAUUUACCUGUUUAUCAUUGGUUUUCCCUUUUAAAACCACCAUCAGUUUCACUACAACAGUAACAGAAGAGCUCUGAGAAUGACCAACGAUGGCGUCACAAUAGUGGUGGACAAUGGGGCUGUGUCGGGGAGAGAAGCCCGGGCGUGGCCACGCUGGACAGAGGCUCCUCACACUGCAGGGGCCACGGCAGCUGUCUGAGCCGCUGUGUGUCUCCCUUCGCCCCACUACCACUCUCUGUUCAGCUCCAACACUGGAACGCAGGGAUGGAGGUGGAGUGGGAGGAGAGCCAGAGAGGGAUAGAUGGCAAACAUAGACUGGAAAACAAAAGGCCAAAGGGACAGAGAGGCCCUUUCAGUUCAAACAUGCACAUACAUACAUACAAGUACACGCCCAAACACACACACACACACACACACAAGCACACUUGCAUAGAUAACCUCACAAUUAUUGUCCAGCCUGCAUUCAUCUUCUCUUCAACACCCCCACAACCCUCACACACUUACCCACUGUUAGUCUCUGCUCCUCCCAUACUUAUAAACGUUGUGCAGUUGAUUUGAGUUACAGGAGUGUUUACCCAAGCUUCUAAAGGAGAGCUAUCCUCUUCAAACAACCAUAACAUUUUACAGGCCACAACAGAGACAAGUGAUGAAGCUAACCCGCUGAACUGAAUUUCACAUAAAGGAAGAAAGAAUUCUGGUCACCUCGGCAGGAUUCUGAAUGUAAGGGCAAAAUCAUAGUCACAAAGAUUCAUGACAGGUACAAACCACCUGGAUAGUAAGAUGAGUCUGAUGAACAAUUGAAACAGCCCUUGUGGGACUGUGCAAACAGUGGAGGAACCUCAUUGACUGUAUAUUAAGUCUGAAUAAACACAAAGCCCACCUGCUCUUCAGUUUACGUUUAAUGAGAACUACACAACAAAAGCCCAGAACAAUAGUCACUGCCAC